GAUGAACGCUAGCGGCAGGCUUAAUACAUGCAAGUCGUGGGGCAGCACAGUCCGCCGAAAGGCGGAUGGGUGGCGACCGGCAAACGGGUGCGGAACACGUACGCAACCUUCCUACAGGCGGGGAAUAGCCCAGAGAAAUUUGGAUUAAUACCCCAUAAAAUUUUAAGAUGGCAUCAUCUUAUUAUUAAAGCUUCGGCACCUGAAGAUGGGCGUGCGGCUGAUUAGGAGUUGGCGGGGUAACGGCCCACCAAGCCUGCGAUCAGUAGCUGAUGUGAGAGCAUGAUCAGCCACACGGGCACUGAGACACGGGCCCGACUCCUACGGGAGGCAGCAGUAAGGAAUAUUGGUCAAUGGACGCAAGUCUGAACCAGCCAUG
rnacentral:rRNA from 1 species